rnacentral:misc_RNA from 1 species
AAAUGCGAUAAGUAAUGUGAAUUGCAGAAUUCAGUGAAUCAUCGAAUCUUUGAACGCACCUUGCGCUCCUUGGUAUUCCUUGGAGCAUGCCUGUUUGAGUAUCAUGAAAUCUUCAAAGUAAAUCUUUUGUUAACUCAAUUGGUUUCUACUUUGGUAUUGGAGGUCUUUGCAGCUUCACACCUGCUCCUCUUUGUUCAUUAGCUGGAUCUCAGUGUUAUGCUUGGUUCCACUCGGCGUGAUAAGUUAUCUAUCGCUGAGGACACUGUAAAAGGUGGCCAAGGUAAAUGCAGAUGAACCGCUUCUAAUAGUCCAUUGACUUGGAAAAUACUUUUAUGAUCUGAUCUCAAAUCAGGUAGGACUACCCGCUGAACUUAAGC